rnacentral:rRNA from 1 species
UACAGAGGCCUCGAGCGUUAGGCGGAAUCACUGGGCUUAAAGCGUGUGUAGGCGGACUUCUAAGUGCCUUGUGAAAUCCCACGGCUCACCCGUGGAACGGCUGGGCAUACUGGGAGUCUUGAGCCACCUAGGGGCUGCCGGAACAAAUGGUGGAGCGGUGAAAUGCGUAGAUAUCAUUUGGAACGCCAACGGCGAAAGCAGGCAACUGGGGAUGCACCGACGCUGAGACACGAAAGCCAGGGGAGCGAACGGG